rnacentral:rRNA from 1 species
GAUGAACGCUGGCGGCGUGCCUAAUACAUGCAAGUCGAGCGAACGGACGAGAAGCUUGCUUCUCUGAUGUUAGCGGCGGACGGGUGAGUAACACGUGGAUAACCUACCUAUAAGACUGGGAUAACUUCGGGAAACCGUAGCUAAUACCGGAUAAUAUUUUGAACCGCAUGGUUCAAAAGUGAAAGACGGUCUUGCUGUCACUUAUAGAUGGAUACGCGCUGCAUUAGCUAGUUGGUAAGGUAACGGCUUACCAAGGCAACGAUGCAUAGCCGACCUGAGAGGGUGAUCGGCCACACUGGAACUGAGACACGGUCCAGACUCCUACGGGAGGCGGCAGUAGGGAAUCUUCCGCAAUGGGCGAAAGCCUGACGGAGCAACGCCGCGUGAGUGAUGAAGGUCUUCGGAUCGUAAAACUCUGUUAUUAGGGAGGAACAUAUGUGUAAGUAACUGUGCACAUCUUGGCGGUACCUAAUCAGAAAGCCACGGCUAACUACGUG